GAUGAACGCUGGCGGCGUGCCUAAUACAUGCAAGUAGAGCGAACAGACGAGGAGCUUGCUCCUCUUACGUUAGCGGCGGACGGGUGAGUAACACGUGGAUAACCUACCUUUUAGCCUGGGAUAACUUCGGGAAACCGUAGCUAAUACCGGAUAAUAUAUUGAACCGCAUGGUUCAAUAGUGAAAGGCGGUUUUGCUGUCCCUUAUAGAUGGCUCCGCGCCGCUUUAGCUAGUUGGUAAGGUAACGGCUUACCAAGGCAACGAUGCGUAGCCAACCUGAAAGGGGGAUCGGCCACACGGGAACUGAGAAACGGCCAAGACUCCAACGGGAGGCAGCAGUAGGGAAUCUUGCGCAAGGGGCGAAAGCCUGACGGAGCAACGCCGCGUGAGGGAUGAAGUUCUUCGGAUCGUAAAACUCUGUUAUUAGGGAAGAACAAAUGUGUAAGUAACUAUGCACGUCUUGACGGUAGCUAAUCAGAAAGCCACGGCUAACUACGUG
rnacentral:rRNA from 1 species